rnacentral:piRNA from 1 species
UCCCAUAAGGGAUGAAGAAAGAGUGGUC